UACGGAGGUAGCUAGCGUUGUUCGGAAUUACUGGGCGUGAAGCGCACGUAUGCGGCCGUUCAAGUCAGAGGUGAAAGCCCGGGGCUCAACCCCGGAAUAGCCUUUGAAACUAGAUGGCUUGAAUCUUGGAGAGGUCAGUGGAAUUCCGAGUGUAGAGGUGAAAUUCGUAGAUAUUCGGAAGAACACCAGUGGCGAAGGCGACUGACUGCACAAGUAUUGCCGCUGAGGUGCCAAAGCGUGGGGAGCACACAGG
rnacentral:rRNA from 1 species